GACCCUGAGCAAGCUGCCAGCUCAGAAGCAGUCUCAGAGAUCAGGAAACGGGUCUCCGUGGAGGAAAAAGGAUAUGAAUCAACCAAGUAGCUCAACCAGAUGGUUCAGAGGUUUAUGGGAUGGACACAGUGAAACAGAUGACAAUUCAGAGGCCCAUGCUCCUUCCCAAAAAACCAACAGCAAGUCAGCAGACCCAGAAUCCUCAGUCCACGUCAUUUGGAAGGACAGAGCUUAUACUGCACGACGUCCCCUUUGGUGCCUAACACAAGGCUCUACACGUGGUUGGCACGCGGUAAGUGUGCUAAUAGUUGACUUUUUUUUUUUUUUUUAAACAAAUACCAACUUAAAAGGUGAUGGAGUCGCGUCAAGGUAAUAAGGUAACUGACUCCUCAGCCACAAAGCUCCUUUCCUGAAACCAUAAACACUCUCCAUUGUCUGGAAUGUGAAAGGAAAGGCCCGCAGCAGCCCUGUGACAUUGCCAGGGCUACUAAUCCCGUCGGCACCAACAGCCACUUCGGAUCAAAUAGACUUUCCCCUGAGAAGGCAAGAGAUUUGUAGAAGAGAUCGGUUAAAACCCAGAAAGUUGUCAGGCCACGGCUCCAGAACUCGGGUGUAUAGUUUCCCCCACGUACUCUUAUUAUUAUUUCAUUGUUCACAAAUAUUGAGCACCUACUCUGUGCCUGGCCCUCUGCUAGGUGCUGCCUUGGGCACACAAUCGCGGAAACAUUCCAAACAAAAUUGCAUUACAAACCCCUAUAACCUAGCAGUCAGGCCAGUGCCCUGCUGCACCCUCCUUCUUCCCUUUCCUGGGCCAGAGUCUCAGCACAACUCCCAAGACACUGGAGUGGAGCGUGAGUAAGGGCAGGCUCCGCCCGGGGACGCAUGCUCCAGGGCCCUGGCUAGCUAUGGGAACUGUCUGCAAGCAGCACACGGAGUUCACAUUUUAUAUUUCCUAGGCGACUCAGUCUCAGAUGGAGUUCAACCGGUCCUUCUGGGGAUCAUUUCUCAUGCUCCUAGAACCCUGACCCAGAGUCCAGCCAAGGUACUCAGGCUCAGCACACAUGCCAGGGGCCACCCGUGCCCAUUUAGCAUCUGUCUUCAAAGCCCCAAGACUUUCCCAUCCAAAAUACACAACAGAUCUUAUAUGCAUCUUUGCCUCAGACUCCGCUCAAGAGCCCCCAGAAACAGAGGAAAGAAGAAAGGAAAAUGUCAAACCCUGGGAACCAUGGGCAUAAAGCUUACAAAAACAAAAAAGGGCAUGCUUACUUCCAGAAUUUGACCACCUAUUUGGGAUUUUAAGUCCCUGGAAAUGUUUUCCCAGAAAGAAAUAUGAUAAAAGAUUUCCUACCUGUUUUUAGAGGGAGGGGGUGGGGUAUGAAUAAAUAAAUGAGUCAUUGCAAAGUAGUUGUUGAAGCAAAGAUAGGUAUGAGCUACAAGGAGAGCAGCCUGUGACAUUGUCAACAAUUUGUCCCAGAGAUCUGGUGAUUAGAAGGCCUGAGGCAGGUUAAAAGAAAGUCCAGUUACAAUUUUAAAAGAAUUGCAACUUUUGAGAGGCUGCUAGGGGGUACCCCAUUGUGAGGAACAUAAAGCAUAAAUUUUAAAAGCUCUGGAUACCUCUGCAAAAGGCAAUUAAGACCUGUGCUGCUACGAGUUUGCAGUUCAUUUCAUAUGGUCUACACUUUAUUCCUUACUAACCAAUCAAGCUCCUGGCUGGCAUUCUGGAGAUUCAUUAAGCACCAUAUAAAUACUCCAGGCCACAUUGCCUCCAAUGAAAGCUUACAAGGAGCCUUUGCCAAUUACUAGGAAACAAUUAUGCACCAACUAGUUGGAUUAGCUGUCCUAAGUUCUCUCUACGAAACAGAAAAAGUCUUCACUGUGGUAGUAGACUAGACUCCGAUAACAUUCUUAUGGUAAAGGAAAGAAAGGCACUAUCAUUCUGAGAAUGCAAGCUGAUCAUAGUUUUAAAGUCAGUUGAGUAUACUAUUAUGUCAUGGUCCAAGAAUGUGCUUUUAAUUGUAACUGACACACACAAAUUACACAGCUAAUCUGUGUGAAUGCAAAGUUGCCAAGAACCUUAACAUUUUAGCUCUUCCAGACUGGCGUCUGCAUAGAUGCAAUCACACAAAGUAAAAUAUAUUAAGUCCCCAUUGCUCAAUGCAAUAGGUCUCUGGGGUCGGUAAGGUAAGUCGACUUGGUAAAUCUCAUUUUCCUCUGAAUUAAAUGAUUGUCAGAAAGUGAAUCAACCUUACUUUUCCCCUCAUUAGACAUGCUGCAGUGCAAAAAUUCCUAUAAAAAUACCUAUUUUGAGUCAUUAAUGUAAAAUGAAGAAAACAGCAGCAGCCUAGAACAGGGAUGUUGAAAUUUAAGAGGAAGAGAGAGAAGAAAAAUCCACUGGAUACCUUACGUGUGUUUGCACAGUACUCUUGUUUUUUCAAACAAUUCUGUUUUAUGACAAAGGCACUGAAAGAUUCUGACACCACCUCUUGGGAGAGCAAUCCACAAAAUUCUAAACAGCAGACAGCGCACCACAGAAAAUGUUUAUGUUAGAUCAGCCAAACUAUAAAACUCUUGUAACACUUCUCUGAACCCAGUGUUUCCAGUGUUUAUAGAUUGCUUUGCUAUCUGACAGACCCAGUUAGUAUUUAAGAUUUUAAGGGUUAAAAAAGUUCAUCUUUCUCCCUGCAAGUUAUCUACUCACAGCUCAAAUCCCACUCUGCAGGGAAAAGCAGCAUCGCCCUGGACCCUCCUGGAAUCUAGGCAGGACCUCCACGCUCCAAGCUGCGACCUGCUAAAGUGAUCAAUGUUUUGAUUUUUCACAGCUUUGAAAGCCUCUAACUGGCUUUUCCAUUUUGGAUCAUUCCAAAGUCUGCAGCAAAAUCAUUACUUUUAUGAUUGCUGGGGAGUUGGGGGGGGCAGGUGGCGGUGGCUUAAGGGGUCACUUAAGUGUUGCCAGUUGGUUCAUACUGAGAUUCACUGCAUGAAACUUUUCGUCGCAUUUUGCACCAAAAUGCUAGCAUUCCCACCUUCAACAUUUGGAA
rnacentral:lncRNA from 1 species